GGCGAAAUAGCUCAGAUGGGAGAGCGUCAGACUGAAGAUCUGAAGGUCCCUGGUUCAAUCCCGGGUUUCGGCA
rnacentral:tRNA from 1 species